AGCAGCCGCGGUAAUUCCAGCUCCAAUAGCGCAUAUUAAAGUUGUUGCAGUUAAAAAGCUCGUAGUUGAAUUUCGGGAUCAAUAUGUCGGUCGUGCCUUCGGUACGUACUGGCAUCAUUGAUUUCUCCCUUCUGACGAACCACGAUGUCAUUAAUUUGGUGUCAUGGGGAGUCAGGACUGUUACUUUGAAAAAUUAGAGUGUUUAAAGCAGGCUCACGCUUGAAUACAUUAGCAUGGAAUAAUGAAAUAGGACGUUUGACCCUAUUUUGUUGGUUUCUAGGAUCAACGUAAUGAUUAAUAGGGAUAGUUGGGGGCAUUAGUAUUCAAUUGUCAGAGGUGAAAUUCUUGGAUUUAUUGAAGACUAACUACUGCGAAAGCAUUUGCCAAGGAUGUUUUCAUUAAUCAAGAACGAAAGUUAGGGGAUCGAAGACGAUCAGAUACCGUCGUAGU
rnacentral:rRNA from 1 species